rnacentral:rRNA from 1 species
UUGGAGGGCAAGUCUGGUGCCAGCAGCCGCGGUAAUUCCAGCUCCAAUAGCGUAUAUUAAAGUUGUUGCAGUUAAAAAGCUCGUAGUUGAAUUUCGGGGUUCUACCGUUGGUCGGGCUUUGUCUGUACUGGUGUGUAGAAUUUCUACCUUCUGGGGAACCAUCAUGCUAUUAAUUUAGCGUGGUGGGAAACCAGGACCUUUACCUUGAAAAAAUUAGUGUGUUCAAAGCAGGCUUAUGUCUGAAUACAUUAGCGUGGAAUAAUAGAAUAGGACGGUGGUCCUGUUUUGUUGGUUUCUGAAUCACCGUAAUGAUUAAUAGGGAUAGUUGGGGGCAUUAGUAUUCAAUUGUCAGAGGUGAAAUUCUUGGAUUUAUUGAAGACUAACUUCUGCGAAAGCAUUUGCCAAGGAUGUUUUCAUUAAUCAAGAACGAAAGUUAGGGGAUCGGAGACGAUCAGAUACCGUCGUAGUCUUAACCAUAAACUAUGCCGACUAGGGAUCGGACGAUGUUAAUUUUUCUUGACUCGUUCGGCGCCUUACGGGAAAC